rnacentral:rRNA from 1 species
CACGUCGAGCGGACAGAUGGGAGCUUGCUCCCUGAUGUUAGCGGCGGACGGGUGAGUAACACGUGGGUAACCUGCCUGUAAGACUGGGAUAACUCCGGGAAACCGGGGCUAAUACCGGAUGGUUGUUUGAACCGCAUGGUUCAAACAUAAAAGGUGGCUUCGGCUACCACUUACAGAUGGACCCGCGGCGCAUUAGCUAGUUGGUGAGGUAACGGCUCACCAAGGCAACGAUGCGUAGCCGACCUGAGAGGGUGAUCGGCCACACUGGGACUGAGACACGGCCCAGACUCCUACGGGAGGCAGCAGUAGGGAAUCUUCCGCAAUGGACGAAAGUCUGACGGAGCAACGCCGCGUGAGUGAUGAAGGUUUUCGGAUCGUAAAGCUCUGUUGUUAGGGAAGAACAAGUACCGUUCGAAUAGGGCGGUACCUUGACGGUACCUAACCAGAAAGCCACGGCUAACUACGUGCCAGCAGCCGCGGUAAUACGUAGGUGGCAAGCGUUGUCCGGAAUUAUUGGGCGUAAAGGGCUCGCAGGCGGUUUCUUAAGUCUGAUGUGAAAGCCCCCGGCUCAACCGGGGAGGGUCAUUGGAAACUGGGGAACUUGAGUGCAGAAGAGGAGAGUGGAAUUCCACGUGUAGCGGUGAAAUGCGUAGAGAUGUGGAGGAACACCAGUGGCGAAGGCGACUCUCUGGUCUGUAACUGACGCUGAGGAGCGAAAGCGUGGGGAGCGAACAGGAUUAGAUACCCUGUAGUCCACGCCGUAAACGAUGAGUGCUAAGUGUUAGGGGGUUUCCGCCCCUUAGUGCUGCAGCUAACGCAUUAAGCACUCCG